GACGAACGCUGGCGGCGUGCUUAACACAUGCAAGUCGAACGGAAAGGCCCUGCUUUUGUGGGGUGCUCGAGUGGCGAACGGGUGAGUAACACGUGAGUAACCUGCCCUUGACUUUGGGAUAACUUCAGGAAACUGGGGCUAAUACCGGAUAGGAGCUCCUGCUGCAUGGUGGGGGUUGGAAAGUUUCGGCGGUUGGGGAUGGACUCGCGGCUUAUCAGCUUGUUGGUGGGGUAGUGGCUUACCAAGGCUUUGACGGGUAGCCGGCCUGAGAGGGUGGCCGGCCACAUUGGGACUGAGAUACGGCCCAGACUCCUACGGGAGGCAGCAGUGGGGAAUAUUGCACAAUGGGCGGAAGCCUGAUGCAGCAACGCCGCGUGCGGGAUGACGGCCUUCGGGUUGUAAACCGCUUUCGCCUGUGACGAAGCGUGAGUGACGGUAAUGGGCAAAGAAGCACCGGCUAACUACGUG
rnacentral:rRNA from 1 species